GAUCCUGGCUCAGGAUGAACGCUGGCGGCGUGCCUAACACAUGCAAGUCGAGCGAUUUACUUCGGUAAAGAGCGGCGGACGGGUGAGUAACGCGUGGGUAACCUGCCUCAUACACAUGGAUAACAUACCGAAAGGUAUGCUAAUACAGGAUAAUAUAAGAGAUUCACAUGGAUUUCUUAUCAAAGUUCCGGCGGUAUGAGAUGGACCCGCGUCUGAUUAGCUAGUUGGUAAGGUAAUGGCUUACCAAGGCGACGAUCAGUAGCCGACCUGAGAGGGUGAUCGGCCACAUUGGAACUGAGACACGGUCCAAACUCCUACGGGAGGCAGCAGUGGGGAAUAUUGCACAAUGGGCGAAAGCCUGAUGCCAGCAACGCCGCGUGAGUGAUGAAGGCCUUCGGGUCGUAAAACUCUGUCCUCAAGGAAGAUAAUGACGGUACUUGAGGAGGAAGCCCCGGCUAACUACGUGCCAGCAGCGGC
rnacentral:rRNA from 1 species